rnacentral:misc_RNA from 1 species
CGGGUUCUGCGGGAUACGUCAACAUAGCGAAAUUCCGGUGGCCUUAAGCAAAUCCGAGGGAGCUGGCUCUGUCACGGUCCUGGCUGUGUUACCUGGCGCCCACCUGUACAUACAGGUCCUCGGGAAUCCUCGCUCGACGGUUCAUGUGGUUCCCGC